rnacentral:tRNA from 1 species
UUGAGCGAAGUUGAAGUGGUCGAUACGCCUGGCUGUGACCCAGGAGGAAGCGGGUUCAAGUCCCGUCGCUCACCCCA